AUUUGUAUAUUAUGCUUUGAACAUUGGAUAUCUACGGACGCCUCGUUACAUUUUCCUUUAUUAUGGAAAUUGUAUGGAUUGCAUCUUGGGUACUGACGUAAUCAUUUAUAGAGAAUCGGCUUGCAACCGGGUGAUAGGUGGAAGCAUAGAAAUUGCCUCACUCAUAAACUAGUACCUUUAAUUUUCGUUCCAUUUUAGUUAAUGGUUAACUAGUAGCCUAAGAUAGUUGAGUUAAUACAACAACAGUGGACAUCAAUUGAGGAGAGUUGGUAAUAAGAGUUGUCGUUAAGGAUGAGAUCCCGUUAGAAAUGCUAUCAUGGCUCUCUUAAUUGGUGGUUCAAUUUUUCUAUUGAAAAGGAGAACCUAGCUGAGACAUGUAAUUGGAUUAUGACUGAGCAAAUAUUUUUACUUUAAUGGUGUAUCAGGGAGUCGGAGCUUUCCAAGCGACCCGUAACUCGACCCGCUGGAAGAAAAAUUCUAUGGCCCGUCAUACCUGCUGUGAAGACUUCUAGCACUCUUUUGAAUCGUAUUCCGAAACAGUUUUGGACUAAUCUAUUUCCGUAACCGCUCUUAUCAAUAUCAAGGGAUAAAUCAGAGAUGUUUGUUGAGUUACAAAGGCUCUUAAUCAAUAUAAAUUCCGUUGUAUUUGUUAGAUCAACUAAGAUCAAGAUUAUUGAAAUAAUCACAAACUAUCAAAGUAUAUCUCAGAGAGAAAUACCUAAUGGA